GUCCUCAGGAUAGCUCAGUCAGUAGAGCACGAGACUCUUAAUUUCAGGUUUGUGGGUUUGAGCCCCACAUCGGGUA
rnacentral:tRNA from 1 species